GAUGAACGCUGGCGGCGUGCUUAACACAUGCAAGUCGAACGAAGCAUUUGCGACAGAUUUUUUCGGAAUGAAGUUGCUUAUGACUGAGUGGCGGACGGGUGAGUAACGCGUGGGUAACCUGCCUUGUACUGGGGGAUAGCAGCUGGAAACGGCUGGUAAUACCGCAUAAGCGCACAAUGUUGCAUGACAUGGUGUGAAAAACUCCGGUGGUAUAAGAUGGACCCGCGUCUGAUUAGCUAGUUGGUGAGAUAACAGCCCACCAAGGCGACGAUCAGUAGCCGACCUGAGAGGGUGACCGGCCACAUUGGGACUGAGACACGGCCCAGACUCCUACGGGAGGCAGCAGUGGGGAAUAUUGCACAAUGGAGGAAACUCUGAUGCAGCGACGCCGCGUGAGUGAAGAAGUAAUUCGUUAUGUAAAGCUCUAUCAGCAGGGGAGAUAGUGACGGUACCUGACUAAGAAGCUCCGGCUAAAUACGUG
rnacentral:rRNA from 1 species